rnacentral:tRNA from 1 species
CCCUGGCAACUCAGACAGUAAAGAAUCUGCCUGCAAUGCAGGAGACCCAGGUUCCAUCCCUGGGUCAGGAA